rnacentral:rRNA from 1 species
CCUACGGGAGGCAGCAGUAGGGAAUCUUCCGCAAUGGACGAAAGUCUGACGGAGCAACGCCGCGUGAGUGAUGAAGGUUUUCGGAUCGUAAAACUCUGUUGUUAGGGAAGAACAAGUACCGGAGUAACUGCCGGUACCUUGACGGUACCUAACCAGAAAGCCACGGCUAACUACGUGCCAGCAGCCGCGGUAAUACGUAGGUGGCAAGCGUUGUCCGGAAUUAUUGGGCGUAAAGCGCGCGCAGGCGGUUCCUUAAGUCUGAUGUGAAAGCCCACGGCUCAACCGUGGAGGGUCAUUGGAAACUGGGGAACUUGAGUGCAGAAGAGAAGAGCGGAAUUCCACGUGUAGCGGUGAAAUGCGUAGAGAUGUGGAGGAACACCAGUGGCGAAGGCGGCUCUUUGGUCUGUAACUGACGCUGAGGCGCGAAAGCGUGGGGAGCA